GAUGAACGCUGGCGGCGUGCCUAAUACAUGCAAGUCGAGCGAACAGACGAGGAGCUUGCUCCUCUGACGUUAGCGGCGGACGGGUGAGUAACACGUGGAUAACCUACCUAUAAGACUGGGAUAACUUCGGGAAACCGGAGCUAAUACCGUAUAACAUGUUGAACCGCAUGGUUCAACAGUGAAAGACGGUCUUGCUGUCACUUAUAGAUGGAUCCGCGCCGCAUUAGCUAGUUGGUAAGGUAACGGCUUACCAAGGCAACGAUGCGUAGCCGACCUGAGAGGGUGAUCGGCCACACUGGAACUGAGACACGGUCCAGACUCCUACGGGAGGCAGCAGUAGGGAAUCUUCCGCAAUGGGCGAAAGCCUGACGGAGCAACACCGCGUGAGUGAAGAAGGUCUUCGGAUCGUAAAACUCUGUUAUUAGGGAAGAACAAAUGUGUAAGUAACUAUGCACGUCUUGACGGUACCUAAUCAGAAAGCCACGGCUAACUACGUG
rnacentral:rRNA from 1 species